rnacentral:tRNA from 1 species
GCCUGGGUGGCUCAGUCGGUUGAGCGUCCGACUUCAGCUCAGGUCACGAUCUCACGGUUCGUGAGUUCAAGCCCCGCGUCAGGCU